GUUUCCUCUUCAGAAAAAGAUCGUGCGUGUUAAUGGAUGACGGGAUUCUACGCUGGAGUGUGCCAUGUUGCUGCCACUCUGUCUCGCGAAGCAGAGGUCGCAGAGCCUUUCCGAGAAUCGCGAGUGUUGUCGCUUCUUUUCAUCAUCCAGGUGACGAGCCUACGCUUACCCAGGAUUUUUCGUUACUGACCCCGAGGACGUGACACCCGUGUUUCUAGGUUAAACGUAGCGAAUAUGGAAGCUCUGUUCUCUGGGUGCACACCGGGGUACCCAAGGGAUACGUGAACAUAUCUGUGUAUGUACAUCAGUAGCUUCUCAACCGCAUGUCGAGGCACGCGCAUGCAUAUUUGUGCAGCUAUUGAAGAACGCUGAUAUUGUUCACGGGACAGAAGUAAAAAGAACAGUGACUUUUGAGUCCUUGCAUGCUCAGCCCUCUGACACCACCCUCGCAUCGUUGUUGCCAACAUCGCACGGUAGGUCUCUCGCAGGUGGACACUCUCCGACCCAGGGGUUUUUCUGUCUGUCUUGGUUUACCAGAAAG
rnacentral:lncRNA from 1 species